GAAAGCGAGUUUUAACUGAGCGUUCAGUUACUUGACGUAGACCCGAAACCGGGCGACCUACCCAUGAGCAGGAUGAAGCGAAAGUAAAAUUUCGUGGAGGUCCGAACCCACGAGCGUUGAAAAGCUCGGGGAUGACUUGUGGGUAGCGGUGAAAUUCCAAUCGAGCCCGGAGAUAGCUGGUUCUCCCCGAAAUAGCUUUAGGGCUAGCCUCAAGGUGAGAGAUACGGAGGUAGAGCACUGAAUGUCCUAGGGGGUAUUGCACCUACCGAAGACUAUCAAACUCCGAAUGCCGUCAUCUUAUACUUGGGAGUCAGACUGUGGGUGAUAAGAUUCAUAGUCGAAAGGGCAACAGCCCAGAUCGUCAGCUAAGGUCCCUAAAUGUAAGUUAAGUGGUAAAGGAUGUGGGAUUGCACAGACAACCAGGAUGUUGGCUUAGAAGCAGCCACUCAUUCAAAGAGUGCGUAAUAGCUCACUGGUCGAGUGAUCCUGCGCCGAAGAUUUCCGGGGCUAAAACUUACUACCGAAGCUACGGCAUCAGUAAUGAUGGGUAGGGGAGCUUCCCAUACGGGUUGAAGCAUGACCGUAAGGACAUGUGGACAGUAUGGGAGUGAGAAUGUUGGCAUGAGUAGCGAGAUGUGGGUGAGAAUCCCACAGGCCGUAAACCCAAGGUUUCCAGGGGAAGGUUCGUCCGCCCUGGGUUAGUCGGGACCUAAGCUGAGGCCGAAAGGCGUAGGUGAUGGACAACAGGUUGAUAUUCCUGUACUACCGAUAACCGUUUGAGAGAUGGGAUGACACAGUAGGAUAAGCUAAGCACACUGUUGGUUAUGUGUGCCCAAGCAUUGAGGCAGUCAAAGUAGGCAAAUCCGCUUUGAUAAUGCUGGGAUGUGAUGGGGAGCGAAAUUUAGUAGCGAAGUAGCUGAUUUCACACUGUCAAGAAAAGUCUCUAUCGAGGUUAAAGGUACCCGUACCGCAAACCGACACAGGUGGGUGAGGAGAGUAUCCUAAGGCCAGCGAGAGAACUGUUGUUAAGGAACUCGGCAAAAUGACCCCGUAACUUAGGGAUAAGGGGUGCCACCAUCAGGUGGCCGCAGAGAAUAGGCCCAAGCGACUGUUUACCAAAAACAUAGGUUUCUGCUAAGUCGCAAGACGAUGUAUAGGAGCUGACGCCUGCCCGGUGCUGGAAGGUUAAGGGGAUCUGUUAGAGCAAUCGAAGCAGUGAACUUAAGCCCCAGUAAACGGCGGCCGUAACUAUAACGGUCCUAAGGUAGCGAAAUUCCUUGUCGGGUAAGUUCCGACCCGCACGAAAGGCGUAACGAUUUGGGCACUGUCUCAACAACAGACUCGGUGAAAUUGUAAUUCCGGUGAAGAUGCCGGAUACCUGCGACAGGACGGAAAGACCCCAUGGAGCUUUACUGUAGCUUGACAUUGGGUCUUGGUACUACAUGUACAGGAUAGGUGGGAGGCUUUGAAACCAGGACGCCAGUUUUGGCGGAGCCAUCCUUGGGAUACCACCCUUGUA
rnacentral:rRNA from 1 species